AUCCAACUGACAAGUCCCAAAUAAGACGAAAUGCUCCUCUUGGAU
rnacentral:hammerhead_ribozyme from 1 species